UUUUGCUGCCCCAUAAAGGACUGUGUGCAUUAAAAUCUCCUGCCCACACCACUGGGGGCUGCACUUGACCCAUUAUUCCAUCUAACUUCUCCAUACUUAACUGGAGACAAGGGUUAUACGGAUUUAUCACUGAGAAUCUUCCUGAUUAGCUCCAUACUUCUACCACCACACACUCACGCCCUUCAACAAUAAAAGCCAGGAAGUUAAACCUACUUACCACCACUGACUCCUCUGUUACACAGGUUACCUGAGAGGGGCCCUCCCUCUCCUUCUCACCUCAUCUGCCUCACCCCAUUUUGCAGCCUUUUUAACAGCCUCAGCAUAAGACACCCCUUUAUUUAUCUCCCUAUACUGCUGCACCCUCAUUUCCUGCUUGUGUUGCUCACACUCACGACUUCCAGCAAUAUGCCCUCCACCACAACUACCACACUUAAUCUCCUUUUCCUUACAAUGAAAAAUGUCAUGCUCACCCCCACAUUUACCGCUCCUUCUAGUUCCACGGCAAGCAGCUGCAAUAUGGCCAUACUUCUGGCACUUAAAACACCUCAAGGGUGGCCUCCUAUGUGGAUGAACUUUAAAGGACAAACAUCCUUGGAACACUCGCUCUGGAAGAGCCUCUUCCUGAAAAGUUAACACUGCAACAGUUGACUCACGUUUAGUUCCAUCCCGGAAAACUCUUAUUCAAAAUGCCUCAGCAACCUUCGCACCAUCAAUGCCCCUGACCAGUUCCUCCAUAGAUGGUAAAUGCAAGACCCCAUAGAUCACUCCUUUCAUACCAGCCCUACUCCCUGGGACAAAUCCUUCCACUCGCCUCUUCCCUUUCGCAUCCAGAGAAACAGCUUUGGUCAACUGAGCAGCAGACUUACAGUAAACAAGCAUCUUUCCAUCUGCCAGAAUCCUUGCAUUUACAAUUUCAGCCAGCUCUUCCUUCAAUGCAAUAGCGAGCAGACUGCCCUACCUUCAGUUUAAAGAUCACUUUAAACUCUUCUGACUGGCUGCUGUCCAUUCUCAUUAUCUUUACCUGCUCUCCCCCUCCGUCUGACUCCUGAGAUGAAUUACGAGUAGUUUUAGUUUUCCUUUUCCUGUUUUUCCCCUUACUACUUUCCCAACUCCCCCCACCUUCAUCAUCAGAUUGCAUAGUACCAGAAACAGCAGCUCGUCACGGAAUCAGUCUGUUACAGUGAUUUAUGGUAACAGGUUGCUAAAGAUGUUUUAGGGAGACAGGUUAAUAAAGGUGUUUUAGGGAGACAGGAUAAUAAAGGUGUUUUAGGGAGACAGGUCAAUAAAGGUGUUUUAGGGAGACAGGAUAAUAAAGGUGUUUUAGGGGGUUUAUUAGUCUUUUAGCUUCACUAAUUUCUGUCUUUUUGAUUAUAGGGGGGUUUAUUAUAGGGGUUUUUUUCAUUUUAUCUUUGUUGAAAGUGUUUAAUGUGUAUCUCCAUCUUUUUUGGUUCAAGCUAAUUUCCCAUGCUUUGUUGAUUGCCUUUUCUGCCUGUUAAAGAAAAAAGUACAUUAGUUGUGAUUUCUUUCUUUUCCUUUCAAGGUUUCAUAAGAAGACGCCGAGCUGUCAGAACAUUAAUCCAAGUUCAAAAGCUUCUCGACAAUGUGGAUCUACACGCUUAUGAUGAAACAGUUCCCCCAGAUGCUGUCAGACCAUUCAUCCUAGGUAAGUGUUCUUUUAGUUUGUACAUUUGUACAAUAACUAAUCCUGCUUGAACAGAACAAAAGAAAAACGUACACUGCAAAAAUACAUUUUCAUGUUUCUCGAAUUAUAAAGAGAUCAUGCACUUUCUGUACUGUCAGUCUGCAACCUGAACAUUGUACCCAAGGGAGGACCUUUUAAGAUAUUUGAGUAGCUUGACAUGGAAUGUGUGAAACACGCACCACACAAAGAACAAACUAUCAACGGCGGCAUAUGAUUGCACUAAUUGUGCAAUUUACCAACAUGUAACUGCCUGCAGGACAGCAGACCGAGAUACUCCUGGUCUGCAGAGACAAACUCCAAAGAUAUUAUUAUGUUGGGAUGGCAGUUACAACUUGGUGGGGCUGCAUGCCCCAUACCUGAACAGCGCUGAGAGUUUGGUACUUUUCAGGGUUCCCUACCACAGUAGCACAGAAAAUAACCAAAAAGCCCCAAUAAUCAUCGUAAUCAAAUAAUCAUGAAAAUAUAUAACCACAACAACCACCACAGGCUCUGUCAUUUCUGUAGAUCCUGAAAACCAUUUCAACAGACAGAAUUCACAAACAACUUCACAUCUGCACAAUAAAGCCCCAAACUUUAUAUUCAGCAUUUUUUUCCAUCUUCUUUUUUUUCCUGCCUGAUUACAUCAUCUCCAAUUCUCCAAGCCCAGAUAGAAUGCGUUUCCCCAUUGGACAUUUAGGUACAUCAGCUAAUAAAAACAUUUGAUACACGCACACAAAAUGGACAGACAUGCUAGUGCACACAUUUAAAACAGUAAAAUCUUGCAGCCCUGAUGUGUACUUCCCUUGUAGCUCACUGGGUAGCGCAUUUGCCUUUGUGUCUUUUUGGAUGAGUGAUAGACCCGGGUUCAAAUCCUCCCUUGGACUGAAGCAAACCUCUAACUCAUUACACUAGCUUGCUGGCUAACUAAAAAUAAAACAUUUUAACUAUUGCUUUUGCAUCUGUAAAAUCUUUGUCGGAAAGUCAUUUAAAUUUCUUAAAUCCAAUGAAAACAUACCCACACUUCAGGCAGUUCUGCAUUUUGCAUUUUCACCGAGUUUAACGUUAGCUACCUGGCUAAGAAGACGACAGACCGAGUGUAUAACGCUAGUACAGAUACGGGUGCCUCCGAAAUUAAGCUCCAACCAAUGGGUUGCUAAAGAUGUUUUAGGGAGACAGGUUAAUAAAGGUGUUUUAGGGAGACAGGUUAAUAAAGGUGUUUUAGGGAGACAGGUUAAUAAAGGUGUUUUAGGGAGACAGGUUAAUAAAGGUGUUUUAGGGAGACAGGUUAAUAAAGGUGUCAUAAGGGGUUAUUAGUCUUUUAGCUUCAGAAUUUCUGUCUUUUUGAUUGUAGGAUGAGUUUUUUUAAUUUUAUCUUUGUUGAAAGGAAACUGCUUCAGACUUUCAUUCAGUUUGAUCUCAAAAUAAAUGGAUCCAUAGCAGAGGGAAUCUUUUGAUUCAAAGCACAGUUGUUAUAUUUGUAAUCCAGUAUCGAGAUUGAAACAGUUUACCUGUAGGGAAGUGUUAAAUUGAUGCAUCAAAUUUCAACAUACCUAACUGAUCAUUGAUCAGUUUGUUUCCAUUAUAGUCCUUUGUGAUCCUCACUUUAGUCUGUAUUUAAUGUGUAUCUGCAUCUUUUUAGUUAAAAAGCUUCUCUACUAUGUGGAUCUACCCACUCAUGGUAAGUGUUCUUUUAGUUCAUACAUUUGUAGAAAAACUAAUCCUGCUUGAUCAGAACAAAAUAAAAACGUACACUGUAAAAAUACAUUUUCAUGUUUCUCGAUUAAUAAAAAAAAUCAUUCACUUUCUGUACUGUCAGUCUGCUUUUGCAUUUGUAAAAUUUUUGUGGGAUUGUCAUUUAAAUUUCUGAAAUCCGAUGAAAAUAUACCCACACUUCGGGCAGUUCUGCAUUUUGCAUUUUCACCGAGUUUAACGUUAGCUACCUGGCUAAGAAGACGACAGACCGAGUGUAUAACGCUAGUACAGAUACAGGUGCCUCCGAAAUUAAGCUCCAACCAAUGGGUUGCUAAAGAUGUUUUAGGGAGACAGGUUAAUAAAGGUGUUUUAGAGAGACAGGUUAAUAAAGGUGUUUUAGAGAGACAGGUUAAUAAAGGUGUCAUAAGGGGUUUAUAAGUCUUUUAGCUUCACUAAUUUCUGUCUUUUUGAUCGUAGGUUGAGUUUUUUUCAUUUUAUCUUUGUUGAUACGAAACCACUUCAGACUUUCAUUCAGUUUGAUCUCAACAUAAAUGGAUCAAUAGCAGAGGGAAUCUUGUGACUCAAGGCACAGUUGUUAUAUUUGAAAUCCAGUAUUGAGAUUGAAACCAUUUCCCUGUAGGGAAGUGUUAAAUUGAUGCAUCAAAUUUCAACAAACCCAACUGAUCAUUGAUCAGUUUGUUUCCAUUGUAGUCCUUUGUGAUCCUCACUUUAGCCUCUGUUUAAUGUGUAUCUCCAUCUUUUUGGUUCAAGCUAAUUUCCUAUGUUUUGUUCAUUGCCUUUUC